rnacentral:rRNA from 1 species
UUAGGGGUUUCUGGUUUUUCAAGAAAUGAAUUUAAUUCAUACGUCUUAUUUAGAGUUUUAUUAUUUGUUUAUUUAUUUUUAUUUGGCGUUAAGAUUGGGAGGGAUUAGCUUCUUAUUUUAUUUUUAUAAUUUUUUGUUUUUUUAGUCUUGUGGGUUUUAUAGUGAUUUUCAAUUUGAUUAUGUUAAAAUUUUAUUUGUUUUGUUCUGUUAUUUUUAUUUAUUUAAUUAUUUAUUGAAAUGUAUUCUUUAUCUUUGGUUUAUGGUUAGUAAUUAUUGUAGAAUUAGUAAAUUUGUUGUUAAAUUGUUUUAUUUGUGUUAAUUUUCUUUGAGGAACUAGGCAAAUUUCAUGUCCGCCUGUUUAACAAAAACAUCUUUUCUUGUUAGUUUUUGAAGUAUGGCCUGCCCGCUGACUUUGGUGUUGAAGGGCCGCGGUAUUUUGACCGUGCAAAGGUAGCAUAGUCAUUAGUUCUUUAAUUGUGAUCUGGUAUGAAUGGCUUGACGAGGCAUGGGCUGUCUUAAUUUUGAAUUGUUUAUUGAAUUUGGUCUUUGAGUUAAAAUUCUUAGAUGUUUUUAUGGGACGAGAAGACCCUAUAGAGUUUAACAUUUGUUAUGGUCCCCUUUCUGUUUGUGAGGGUUCACUGGGCCGUUUAAUAUGUUUUGUUGGGGUGAUGGGAGGGAUUAAUUUAA